rnacentral:rRNA from 1 species
UACGUAGGUGGCAAGCGUUGUCCGGAUUUACUGGGCGUAAAGAGCGCGCAGGCGGUCGUUCAAGUCGCGUGUGAAAGCCCCCGGCUCAACUGGGGAGGGUCACGCGAUACUGAUCGACUCGAAGGCAGGAGAGGGUAGUGGAAUUCCCGGUGUAGUGGUGAAAUGCGUAGAUAUCGGGAGGAACACCAGUGGCGAAGGCGACUACCUGGCCUGUUCUUGACGCUGAGGCG